rnacentral:lncRNA from 1 species
UAUAGGCCUAAGUCACCUCCUCAAUGGAGGGUUCUAGAAUCCCCUACUUACAUCCAAAAAUAUCUAGCAUAGUUCUAGAUACAACUUGCCUAAUCUAGAUUAUUCUAGGUGAGGCUUAAAUAUGUACACUUGUGUGGAAUGUUCCGGAAUACCCUAGAUUAUCUUGAAUGCUCCGCCACGUUCUUGAUUUCUCCGGGACGUUCCAGAAGCUUCCAUGAAGACAUGGCUUCAUGGGCUUAGAUAUAUGAUGUCUUGGGCAUUUUCUUUGUUUUUAACAUGCGGCCCGUGACAUCCUCCCCCACUUAAGCCGUCGACGUCCUCGUCGACUCUUGCCUCUCGAAUGUCUGAAUCAAGUCCUUAUAUUGCCAUAAGGACAUCUCCUUCUCCCAUGUUGCUUCGGAGUAUGGUAGCCCCUUCCAUUUGACAAAGUACUCCACAUGCUUUGGUUGUCUUGGUCGCACCACGACACGCUUGGCUUCAAUGCUCUCCACUUCUUUGUCAAAUGCCUCCGUCAUCAAAGGGGGUGCUCGAUGAGACUCACCUCGACUUGGUUCCUCAUCGUCCGCAUGAUAAGGCUUCAAGUUGCUCACAUGGAACACCGGGUGAAACUUGAGGCGGGGUGGGAGUUCCACAACAUACGCGGCUUUGCCAACCUUCUUGAUGAUAGGGAAUGGUCCCUCAUAUUUCCGCAACAAGCUCUUGUGCAAGCCACGAGUACUCUUGUGCUGAGAUGCAUUGAGCUUCACAAAGACUUGGUCGCCAGUUUGGAACUCCACAUUCCUUCUCUUGCGAUCCGCCCAUUUCUUCAUCUUCUUUGAAGCCUUCUCCAAAUGAGCUCGAGCAAGUUCGUGGGCUAAUUGCCACUCCUUAGCAGUUUUGAAAGCGGCUGGACUAUUCCCCGUGUAGCCAGUCACGACCGUGUUCGGGGUCAAGGGUUGUUGCCCUAUAGCCAACUCGAACGGACUUUUCCCCGUCGACUCCGAACGUUGCAAGUUAUAAGAGAAUUGGGCAACAUCAGGUAACUUAGCCCAAUCUCGUUGAUUGGCACUAACAUAGUGCCGCAAAUAAGUCUCCAACUCGGGUGGCGACAUCCUAUAAGGUGAUUUGGAGGGAGGCUUAGCACCAGGCUCCAACUCAAUCGCAUGGUCGACCUCUCUCCUUGGUGGCAACUUCUUUGGCAGUUCCUUAGGCAUCACGUCCGCAAACUCCACAAGGACGUCUUCCACUUGUUUCGGCAAAGGCCCGUGCUUCUCCUCCCCUUCAUUCAACAUUAGGGUUGCAAGAAAUGUGGCCUCGCCUUUCUUCCAAGACUUGGCAAAUUGAAUUGCCGACAAGUGCUGGGUACACUUUUUGGCUUGCCUUUCCAAUGGCACUAGGCAAGGUUGUCUUCCGUCGGCCAGGAUACAGAAAAUAUUGUAGAAGGGAAUGGGAAAGGCUCGUACCUUGUCCAUGAACUCUAACCCAAUGACUACGCCAUAGUCGUCCAUCUUGACUACGGUGAAGUCGAUUGUUCCCUUCCAUGUGCCAAUGUCUACGUGUACAUUGCGCGCAACUCCAACAAUGGGGGUGGCAGCGGAAUUUACCGUCUUCACGCUACCGGGCUCCUUGGUGACUCGGAGGCCAAGCCUUGUGGCUUCCUCCGACGUCAUGAAGUUGUGUGUUGCUCCCGUGUCCACCAACACACGCGUCGUCUUGUCACCAGUCUUGACGUCGACGAACAAUGAUCCUCCCCCAACUUGAGCCUUAGGUUGUGGGAGGGUUGUCUGGAUGGCAUUCAGUAGACGGAUGCAUCCCAUCGUUGCAUCGUUACUCUCCUCGGCCUUGUCCUCCUUGAAGGCCAUGGCCUUAAGGGCCUUCUUUUGUGGGCAAUCUCGCAUCAUGUGAGGGCCGUCGCAUAGGUAACAAGUGGGUUGCCAAGACUUACCUUUGCCUUUGUCAUGCUUAUCGGCUUUCUUCUCCUUCGGUUUGCUUGUCUCGGCCUUGUCAUUCGGCUUGUGUUCUCCCCCACUUCUCUCAUGGUUACCCCUCUUCCCCGUGGACUUGGAAUCCCCUUGGUGGCUUGAUUUAAACUCAAUCAAGGAUUCAGCGGCGGCAAUGGCAUCAGACAAUGUUUGCACGUGCCUCCUUUGUAGUUCGAGUUUUGCCCAAUUUUGCAGUCCACUCAUGAAGUACAUGAGCUUGUCUUCCUCUAACAUGUUGGGCACCUCGAAUAACAAGCUCACGAAGGCGUUGACAUAGUCUUUGACGCUCCCCGUUUGCUUGAGCCACCUUAGUUUCUCCUUGGCUUCGUACUUGGCAUUUUGGGGAUAGAAGUGCAACAUAAGAUCUUUCUUAAAUUCAUCCCAAGUGGUGAGAGAGAACGUACCUUGCUCAAUCUCCAUGCUUCGGCGACGCCACCACAUAAGGGCAUUGUCAGCUAAGAACAUGGUUGCCGUUGAGAUUUUGGACUCGUCAUCUUCAAGCUUUAGGUACUUGAAGUAUCGCUCCACGUUCCACACGAAUGUGUCGAGCUCCUUUGCUUCCCUCUUCCCAUUAUAGGAUUUGGGUUUAAAGGAGUCGAUUACCUUGGAGUCCAACGCCUUGAUUUCCCUCGACCCUUGCACGAAUUGCUUCACGACUGCUUCUUUACAAAACGCCACAUCUCCCUUAAGUUCCCUUGUGUCCUUUAUCUCUUCUUGAAGCGCCACAAACCUUGCCUCUAUGUUGUCAAGGUGAACCUGGACUUCCCUCCGCAUCUUGUCUGCCAUGGUGUUGAGAGCGCCAAGGAGCUCAUCUCGUAGCCCUUCCACCAAGCCACGCAGUUCAUCCUUACCAUUGUCCACCAUGGUUUGGAUUUCCUCCUUGUCGACAACGUCCUCAUCAAGUCGAGUAUCGAACUCGAGUAUGGUUCGUUCCACCUUCUCGAGUCGCUCUUCCAUGGUCUCCAUCGAUGCUUGCAAGUCCUUUAACUUUGGCUUGCUCUUGGCAACGUCUUGGACCUCGGCAGUACGCUCCCUUAGGUCGGAGACUCCGGACACCAUCUCUCCACUUGCCAUAUCCUACUUUCCUUUAAGUGAUUCACGAGCUAGGCUCUGAUACCAGCUGUCACGGGAUGACUCUUUAAGCCUUCCGCCCGUGCGGCACUUAGACUUGAAUACCUCGACGAACAAGCUAAGUAAGCCUUCGAAGCCUCGCUUCCCCGGAUCGAAUCACAAAGAAAGCUAAGAUAGCUUGGAGAAUGCUAAGAUCACUUAGAAGAUGGGAGAAAGGAAGCUUUGUAUUGAAAGUUAAGAGAACUUUACAAUUGCUUACAAUUCUUGGAUGGUUUGGCCAAAUGGCCUUACCUCCUAUUUAUAGGCCUAAGUCACCUCCUCAAUGGAGGGUUCUAGAAUCCCCUACUUACAUCCAAAAAUAUCUAGCAUAGUUCUAGAUACAACUUGCCUAAUCUAGAUUAUUCUAGGUGAGGCUUAAAUAUGUACACUUGUGUGGAAUGUUCCGGAAUACCCUAGAUUAUCUUGAAUGCUCCGCCACGUUCUUGAUUUCUCCGGGACGUUCCAGAAGCUUCCAUGAAGACAUGGCUUCAUGGGCUUAGAUAUAUGAUGUCUUGGGCAUUUUCUUUGUUUUUAACAUGCGGCCCGUGACACU